GGGAAUACUAAAUAACACUGACCUGGAUUACAGGCAGGAUUAGAUUAAAUUGAGAGCAUAAAACCAUGUUAGGAGACAAACAUGGGUACCAGAUUUGCAUUUGCCUACUAGGGGUCAUUUGUGAGACAUAGAAGGAAGGAUAUACUAAGCGACAGAGGCUGCAUUAUGCAUCGGCAAUAAAGGAUACCGCAGGGCGCACCCGGCAUAGAUCAUAAUUACACUUGGCCGCCCGGCACAGUGAGGACCAGCAGUGACCACACCACCCAGGACAGUCUGGAGAGGAUUUGGGAGGCCCCAUGGGGUAUGGAGGCUCUGGACUUUGGCCCCGAAGUCUAUGGCUGACACCAUUCACAGAGAUGAGGAUGGUACCGGAGCAAACCAAGGGUGGAACCAAGCAAGUAGGGUCUGUGAGCAAGCAAAGCGAAGAGCUGAAGAGGGAGGUCGCAGGCCUUGCAUGUAUGAGAUUAUUCUCUUGCAUUCUUUGCAAUGGAAUUUAAUUUUCGCCAGAUGCUUCAACAUCCCUUCUUCGCUAUCCGGUCUGGGCACAGAAAAGCAGGACUUUGCAACAGACUCCACUGGGGAAUGAAAAUGUGGUUUGUACCAGCAGAGCAGUUUGAGGAUUAUAGUCACGGGGUGGAAUGUUUAUUGCUCAAUUAGUCUCAAUGAUUUCCACAAUGGAAUUACUCCUGGAGACAAGAAGCUUCACAAAUUCUUUCUUCUCAUCCAUGCCUGCAGAAAUUACACUAAAAUAGGCAGAAUAAUGGUAAUUCGGAGCCUAUCCCACUGCAUCAAUUAAUACUACACUCUGUCUUCUGCGACUGCAACAAAACCACCUGCAAACAGCUCUUUCAGUCAUUCUUUCUGCUUCCAUCUCCUCCCUCCUCCCCCUUCUCCCUCUCCCUCUCUCUCUCUGGUUUUUAUUUCCCCAAAUAAAACAACAUUAUUUCAAUAUGUGCCUGACUUUGAGCAUGUGAAUUUUAAGUCAGCUGCCAGUGCUGGUCUUGUGGCAGCAAGUAUGACUUGUCUCCUUUGCUAAGCAGGGUCUGCCCUGG